CUCUGCCCCUCCCCCUCCCCCUCCCUCUCCCCGGAGAGGACUACCCAGCAGCCCCCGCGUCAACAGCCCCCCCGCCCCAUCCGGCGGCUGAGGGGAGGGACCAAAUUCCCUACCACGUGACCCGCUCUCGGAAAGGCCUUGCGGGGCCCGAGCACCGCCUUUCUUCGGAAAGGGAGUCCCUUGGUUUUCCGACUCGGGAUGUAACUCACAAAAUGUCGAUCGAAAGUUGCGAUCGCCAAACGAGCCGCGUGCUUGCUUCUUAGGCGGAGGGGCCUCAGAUAGGUGACGUUCAGCCUUAUUGCAGCGAGCGGGAUAGUGAGGGAGCUGGUCAGCCCUGAUCAGACGGCUGCGGCGACAAUUUUCCAUUGAUUUCUACUCGCCAUCCUGGCUACCAGAUUAAAGUGAAUUUAGUUUCAUCCAAAUGUAUGUGGUAUUGAGUGUUCUUCCCAAAGAGGAAUUGUGUUCAGAUGGACUUAAAUAGAAUAACUGAUCCAAGAACUUGACUCUGUUUCAAAGUCAGAAGAACUAGAAGAAAAACUUGAUGAUGGAGAAGAUGAAGAACUGGAAGUGCUUUCAUCACUAUCACUGUCGUCUGAUGAAAAUUCCUCACUCUCUGAUGAAGAGUCGCUAGCUGAAGUGAUACUGCUGCUACUGCUGGAACUUGUCACACUUUUAGACCUGCACAGAAGUUUUAAAAGGAGCAGCAGACAUUAUUCAGCAAAAUCUACUAAAAGAAAUGUUUUAGACUUUCAGUAGGAAAAA